UACGUAGGUGGCGAGCGUUGUCCGGAAUUACUGGGUGUAAAGGGCGUGUAGGCGGGGAUAUAAGUCAGAUGUGAAAUACCGUGGCUCAACCACGGGGCUGCAUCUGAAACUAUGUUUCUUGAGUGUCGGAGAGGAAAGUGGAAUUCCCAGUGUAGCGGUGAAAUGCGUAGAUAUUGGGAGGAACACCAGUGGCGAAGGCGACUUUCUGGACGAUAACUGACGCUGAGGCGCGAAAGCGUGGGGAG
rnacentral:rRNA from 1 species